CCAGACUCCUACGGGAGGCAGCAGUGGGGAAUCUUCCGCAAUGGGCGAAAGCCUGACGGAGCAACGCCGCGUGAUCGAAUGAAGGCCUUCGGGUUGUAAAGAUCUGUUGACAGGGACGAAUAAGCAAUGCGAAUAGUUUUGUGUAUGACGGUACCUGUUUAGAAAGCUCCGGCUAACUACGUGCCAGCAGCCGCGGUAAUACGUAGGGAGCAAGCGUUGUCCGGAAUUACUGGGCGUAAAGGGCGCGUAGGUGGGCGCUUAAGUCAGGUGUGAAAACUCCGGGCUCAACCUGGAGACUGCACUUGAAACUGUAGGUCUUGAGUAUCGGAGAGGCAGGCGGAAUUCCUAGUGUAGCGGUGAAAUGCGUAGAUAUUAGGAGGAACACCAGUGGCGAAGGCGGCUUACUGGACCAUAACUGACGUUGAGGCUCGAAAGCGUGGGGAGCGAACAGGAUUAGAUACCCCAGUAAA
rnacentral:rRNA from 1 species